rnacentral:tRNA from 1 species
GCCCCUGAAAGAUAAUAGUAA